rnacentral:rRNA from 1 species
UACAGAGGGUGCAAGCGUUAAUCGGAAUUACUGGGCGUAAAGCGCGUGUAGGCGGCUGGUUAAGUUGGGUGUGAAAGCCCGGGGCUCAACCCCGGGACGCCGCCCAAGACUGGCCGGCUUGAGGACGGAAGAGGGGAGUGGAAUUCCUGGUGUAGCGGUGAAAUGCGUAGAGAUCAGGAGGAACACCCGUGGCGAAGGCGGCUCCCUGGUCCGUCCCUGACGCUGAGACGCGAAAGCGCGGGGAGCGAACGGG